rnacentral:rRNA from 1 species
CCUACGGGAGGCAGCAGUGAGGAAUAUUGGUCAAUGGACGAGAGUCUGAACCAGCCACGUAGCGUGAAGGAUGACUGCCCUCUGGGUUGUAAACUUCUUUUAUAUGGGAAUAAAACGUUCCACGUGUGGGAUUUUGUAUGUACCAUAUGAAUACGGAUCGGCUAACUCCGGGCCAGCAGCCGCGGUAAUACGGAGGGGCCGAGCGUUAUCCGGAUUUAUUGGGUUUAAAGGGAGCGUAGGUGGAUUGUUAAGUCAGUUGUGAAAGUUUGUGGCUCAACCGUAAAAUUGCAGUUGAAACUGGCAGUCUUGAGUACAGUAGAGGUGGGCGGAAUUCGUGGUGUAGCGGUGAAAUGCUUAGAUAUCACGAAGAACUCCGAUUGCGAAGGUAGUUCACUGGACUGCAACUGACACUGAGGCUCGAAAGUGUGGGUAUCAAACAGGAUUAGAUACCCCGGUAGUC